UACGUAGGGACCAAGCGUUGUUCGGAUUUACUGGGCGUAAAGGGCGCGUAGGCGGCUUUGUAAGUCACUUGUGAAAGCUCCGGGCUUAACUCGGAACGGCCAAGUGAUACUGCAAUGCUAGAGUGCGGAAGGGGCAAUCGGAAUUCUUGGUGUAGCGGUGAAAUGCGUAGAUAUCGGGAGGAACACCUGCGGCGAAAGCGGCUCACUAGACCACAACUGACGCUGAGGCGCGAAAGCUAGGGGAGCAAACAGG
rnacentral:rRNA from 1 species